rnacentral:rRNA from 1 species
GACGAACGCUGGCGGCGUGCUUAACACAUGCAAGUCGAACGGAAAGGCCCUGCUCUUGUGGGGUGCUCGAGUGGCGAACGGGUGAGUAACACGUGAGUAACAUGCCCUUGUCUUUGGGAUAACUUCAGGAAACUGGGGCUCAUACCGGAUAGGAGCUCCUGCUGCAUGGUGGGGGUUGGAAGGUUUCGGCGGUUGGGGAUGGACUCGCGGCUUAUCAGCUUGUUGGUGGGGUAGUGGCUUUCCAAGGUUUUGACGGGUAGGCGGCCUGAGAGGGUGACCGGCCACAUUGGGACUGAGGUACGGCCCAGACUCCUACGGGAGGCAGCAGUGGGGAAUAUUGCACAAUGGGCGGAAGCUUGAUGCAGCAACGCCGCGUGCGGGAUGACGGCCUUCGGGUUGUAAACCGCUUUCGCCUGUGACGAAGCGUGAUUGACGGUAAUGGGUAAAGAAGCACCGGCUAACUACGUG